GUGUCAGCCGCCGCGGUAAUACGUAGGGAGCAAGCGUUGUCCGGAAUUACUGGGCGUAAAGGGCGUGUAGGCGGGAAUUUAAGUAAGGUGUGAAAACUCCGGGCUCAACCUGGAGACUGCACUUUAAACUGAGUUUCUUGAGGGCAGGAGAGGAAAGUGGAAUUCCUAGUGUAGCGGUGAAAUGCGUAGAUAUUAGGAGGAACACCAGUGGCGAAGGCGACUUUCUGGACUGUACCUGACGCUGAGGCGCGAAAGCGUGGGGAGCGAACAGGAUUAGAAACCCGCGUAGUCC
rnacentral:rRNA from 1 species